UACGUAGGUGACCAGCGUUGUCCGGAUUUACUGGGCGUAAAGAGCGCGCAGGCGGUCGUUCAAGUCGAGUGUGAAAGCCCCCGGCUCAACUGGGGAGGGUCACUCGAUACUGAUCGACUUGAAGGCAGGAGAGGGAAGCGGAAUUCCCGGUGUAGUGGUGAAGUGCGUAGAUAUCGGGAGGACACCAGUGGCGAAGGCGGGUCUCUGGGCAGUAACGUGACGCUGAGGAGCGAAAGCGUGGGGAGCGAACG
rnacentral:rRNA from 1 species